rnacentral:rRNA from 1 species
UACGAAGGGGGCUAGCGGUGCUCGGAAUCACUGGGCGUAAAGCGCACGUAGGCGGCUUCUUAAGUCAGGGGUGAAAUCCUGGAGCUCAACUCCAGAACUGCCUUUGAUACUGAGGAGCUUGAGUCCGGGAGAGGUGAGUGGAACUGCGAGUGUAGAGGUGAAAUUCGUAGAUAUUCGCAAGAACACCAGUGGCGAAGGCGGCUCACUGGCCCGGUACUGACGCUGAGGUGCGAAAGCGUGGGGAGCAAACAGG